GGGAGGGCUGGGGGAAGGGACCCGGACUAGAACAACUGCUGACUAAUCCGCGGGCCGCGGGGAAUGGGUGGCGCGCCAGCCGGUCGGCAGGGGUCACGCGGCCGGGUGUGCGCGGAAUGGAUUCAGGGUUCUCGGGUCGCGCCCGGGAGCUAGAGUCCUGACUCCCAGCCGGGGUCCCCGACCGGCCUUUCGGGGUUGCCGGGCGCGCUCUGCAAAGGGGAAACUGAGGCCCAAGGAAAUUGAGUAUCUCUGCAAAGUCACCAGCUGAGUUCGAACCAGACAGAUCCUGGGACCCCCUACUCUAUCCGCCACCCGGAAGAAUCUCCGUCCUUGUCUUUCCAUUCUGCCCUCCCGGCUUCCCAGUAAGCACACAGCCCCAGGACCACCCUUGACCGUCCUCAACCAAGCGAUGCAUGCCAGGGGCCCCCAUGGCCAACUGUCCCCGGCACUGCCUCUGGCCUCCUCAGUCCUGAUGCUGCUGAUGAGCACCCUGUGGCUGGUGGGGGCCGGCCCCGGCCUGGUCCUGGCCCCGGAGCUGUUGCUGGACCCCUGGCAGGGUGAGGGCCAGCCACGUGGACCUUGGAGGAAGCAGGAGACUUGCUGUAGGGCCUGGGCCCAGUUGGCAGGAGCAGCACAAGGCCCCCAGGGGUCAAACAGGGAUGGGGCCCAGUGUCCCGGGGAAGCAUGGCCUUAGACAGGAGCAUGCCCAGCACAUCCACAGCCAAGAAGGGAGGCAGAGGACUCCCUAGGGUGGGCUGGAACCUAUGGGUAGGAGUGCUUUUCUCAUGGUUUCCCUUUCUGGCAGCUUUUCCUUGAAAUAAGAACUAAGGCCAGGUGGCUGACGCCUGUAAUCCCAGCACUUUGGGAAGCUGAGGCAGGUGGAUCACUUGAGGUCAGGAGUUCGAGACCAGCCUGGCCAACAUGGUUAAACCCUGUCUCUACUAAAAAUACAAAAAUUGGCCGGGCACAGUGGCUCACGCCUGUAAUCCCAGCACUUUGGGAGGCCGAGGCGGGCGGAUCACGAGGUCAGGAGAUUGAGACCAUCCUGGCUAACAUGGUGAAACCCCGUCUCUACUAAAAAUACAAAAAGAUUAGCCGGGCGUAGUGGCAGGUGCCUGUAGUCCCAGCUACUCGAGAGGCUGAGGCAGGAGAAUGGCGCGAACCUGGGAGGCGGAGCUUGCAGUGAGCCGAGAUCGCGCCACUGCACUCCAGCCUGGGUGACAGAGUGAGACUCCAUCUCAAAAAACAAAACAAAACAAAACAAAAAAACAACUAAGACUUUCAACUAAGCAUGAGGAUGGGAGGAGGAGGUGUUGGGGUUUUGAGGAGUGACCUCAGCUGAGCACCUGUUUCCCAAUAAUAACUCCUCCAAUUUGUAUUUGAGGACCCCCAAUGAUGCUCAGAGAGGUUAAGUGAUUUGACC
rnacentral:lncRNA from 1 species